CAAUUACUUAUUCAAAAGUUGGAUAUUUUUAGGAGUGAAGGCUAUGAAAUUAUAUACCUGGAUGAAACAUGGUAAAUGCUAACCAAGCCAUCCAUGGAACAUGGACAGAAAACAGGAAAGGGUCAUUGGGCAUAAUUCUCCCAAACUGCAAUGAAUGCGAUAGAUUCAUUCCUUCUGGUAAGGGAUCAAGACUGAUCAUCUUAGAUGCUGGUUCGGUUGAUCGGGGUUACCAGUAAGGCACUGCGAGUUAAACCCAAUAGAGAUAAUUCAAGCACAAGAAAAGGCCUAUGUCGCCCGAAAAAAUACCACUUUCAAAAUCAAAGACGUUAAACGUCUGUUCCUUUAGGCCAAGGCUAGUGUGACAACUACAGACUGGGCUAAGGCAUGUCAACACGUCAUAGACAAGGUGGAGGAUCGGUUUUAGGAAGCGGGAAGAUUGAAUGAGGAAGUACCACCAGCCGUAUUUUCGUUCGGGAGUGACAGCGAGUUUGGGUGUGAGAGUGAAGAUUUGGGCGAGAAUGUCAGUGGAGAGAGUGAUAGUGAAAAGGUUACUGAGAAUAUGGAUGGUGGUGGUGUUGCGAAUGAAGAUUCGAGUGAUGAUGAUAAAAAUGUGUGUAGUGUAUGUGAUUGUGAGAACCCACCGGGAAGUGAGUCGGAUGCGAUUGUGGAUUGGGUGGGCUGUGAUUUGUGUGAAAGGUGGAUGCAUGUGAAAUGUACAGGGAAAGAGAUUGAUGUAAGUGCAAGUGUGGUGAAGUGUGUAGAUUGUUUGCGUAAAUUGUAUGAUAGAUAGCGUGAAUGUAGGCCAGACAACUUCUAUAAUUUAUAUUGUAUAUAGU